AAAGGGGACGGAGGGGAUUAAGUCGUUCUCGCCCCGGGUGUGCCGGAAACGACUUAAUCCCCUCCGUCCCCUUU
rnacentral:antisense_RNA from 1 species